GGCGGCAGGCCUAAAACAUGCAAGUCGAACGCUCUAGCAAUAGAGAGUGGCGCACGGGUGCGUAACAUGUGGGAAUAUGCCUUUUGGUACGGAACAACGUUUGGAAACGAACGCUAAUACCGUAUGGUCCCUUCGGGGUAAAGAUUUAUCGCCAAAAGAUUAGCCCGCACUGGAUUAGCUAGUUGGUGAGGUAAUGGCUCACCAAGGCGACGAUCCAUAGCUGGUCUGAGAGGACGAUCAGCCACACUGGGACUGAGACACGGCCCAGACUCCUACGGGAGGCAGCAGUUAGGAAUAUUGGACAAUGGGCGCAAGCCUGAUCCAGCCAUGCCGCGUGAGUGAUGAAGGCCUUCGGGUUGUAAAGCUCUUUAGCCGAUGAUUAUAAUGACUGUAGUCGGAAAAUAAGCCCCGGCUAACUUCGUGCCAGCAGCCGCGGUAAUACGAAGGGGGCGAGCGUUAUUCGGAAUCACUGGGCGUAAAGCGUGCGUAGGCUGUUUGGCAAGUUGGAAGUGAAAGCCCAGG
rnacentral:rRNA from 1 species